rnacentral:rRNA from 1 species
UACGGAGGGUGCAAGCGUUGUUCGGAAUUAUUGGGCGUAAAGGGCUCGUAGGCGGCCAACUAAGUCAGACGUGAAAUCCCUCAGCUUAACUGGGGAACUGCGUCUGAUACUGGAUGGCUUGGAUUCGGGAGAGGAAUGCGGAAUUCCAGGUGUAGCGGUGAAAUGCGUAGAUAUCUGGAGGAACACCGGUGGCGAAGGCGGCAUUCUGGACCGACAUUGACGCUGAGGAGCGAAAGCCAGGGGAGCAAACGGG